CACGUAGGGGGCGAGCGUUGUCCGGAUUUAUUGGGCGUAAAGAGCUCGUAGGCGGCUCAGUAAGUCAGGUGUGAAAACUCCAGGCUCAACCUGGAGACGCCACCUGAUACUGCUGUGGCUAGAGUCCGGUAGGGGAGCAUGGAAUUCCUGGUGUAGCGGUGAAAUGCGUAGAUAUCAGGAGGAACACCGAUGGCGAAGGCAGGUCUCUGGGCUGACACUGACGCUCAUGCACGAAAGCGUGGGGAGCAAACAGG
rnacentral:rRNA from 1 species